UUUCAGAAUACUAUAACAACCUAAAAGAUAUUUGGAAUAUUUAUGUAAGCCCUUCAAAACCCUCCAAAACCCUCCUUCAAUACAAUUUUUGAGUUCCCCCAUUUUAUGGGGUUUUUGGUGUUAUGAAUAAACUCAAACCCUCCAAAACCCUCCUACCCAAAAUCUUUUUAUCCUUUUCAUCCAAUUCUUCCUAUUUUCCAAAACCCUCCCCUCCCUUCCCCUCCAAACUCCCAAACAUAGCCUAUGAAUUCACCCUUCCUUAUCGAAAUGAUUUUGAAGCCAGGAGUAAAAUACAAUCCUAAAUUAAUGAGGGAACUAAUGACGUACUAUAGAGCAUCAGACAUAGUGGAGAUCAAUUGCGAAGGAGAAGAGUUUUGAGACAUUUGAGGUCAAUGUUUUGUAGGUUUUUGGAUAAGAUUCUCUUUACCACAGUAGUCUCGUGUCAUCCAACAUGGUUUCAGAGGCUUCUAACUUGAUGUUAUUGUCCAACUACAAAAGGGCGAUGAAAGCUGGACUCAACCCAAAUAAUGAUUUAAGGCAUAGGAUACUAGAAAUUAUCAAGUGUUUUAGUUAGUUGUUUAGGGUUUCAAGUGAUAAGCUUUUUCAAAAAAAAAAAAAACUACCCACAUUUUAAAAGGACAUGAAAAAAUCAAUAACUACCUAAAUGUAUUCAUUGCGUAACUGUUUUCUUAUCUCUCUUCAGACAUUUAUUAUCCUGCAUAGUAAAUUUAAUAGAUGGACGAUGGAGCAUUUUCA